rnacentral:rRNA from 1 species
GACGAACGCUGGCGGCGUGCUUAACACAUGCAAGUCGAACGGUAAGGCCCUUCGGGGUACACGAGUGGCGAACGGGUGAGUAACACGCGGGUGAUCUGCCCUGCACUUCGGGAUAAGCCUGGGAAACUGGGUCUAAUACCGGAUAGGACUCCUGGCUUCAUGGUUGGGGGUGGAAAGCUUUUGCGGUGUGGGAUGGGCCCGCGGCCUAGCAGCUUGUUGGUGGGGUAAUGGCCUACCAAGGCGACGACGGGUAGCCGGCCUGAGAGGGUGACCGGUCACGAUGGGACUGAGAUAAGGCCUCGACUCCUACGGGAGUCAGCAGUGGGGAAUAUUGCACGAUGGGCGCAAGCCUGAUGCAGCGACGCCGCGUGAGGGAUGACGGCCUUCGGGUUGUAAACCUCUUUCAGCUAUGACGAAGCGCAAGUGACGGUAGUAGCAGAAGAAGGACCGGCCAACUACGUGCCAGCCGCCGCAGUAA